rnacentral:rRNA from 1 species
CCUACGGGUGACAGCAGUGAGGAAUAUUGGUCAAUGGGCGGAAGCCUGAACCAGCCAAGUAGCGUGCAGGAUGACGGCCCUACGGGUUGUAAACUGCUUUUAUACGGGAAUAACGCGCCUUACGUGUAGGGUUUUGCAUGUACCGUAUGAAUAAGGACCGGCUAAUUCCGUGCCAGCAGCCGCGGUAAUACGGAAGGUCCGGGCGUUAUCCGGAUUUAUUGGGGUUAAAGGGAGCGUAGGCGGGAUGCCAAGUCAGCGGUAAAAAUGCGGUGCUCAACGCCGUCGAGCCGUUGAAACUGGCGUUCUUGAGUGGGCGAGAAGUAUGCGGAAUGCGUGGUGUAGCGGUGAAAUGCAUAGAUAUCACGCAGAACUCCGAUUGCGAAGGCAGCAUACCGGCGCCCUACUGACGCUGAGGCACGAAAGCGUGGGUAUCGAACAGGAUUAGAUACCCGAGUAGUC